CCCCUAGAUGUUCUGGGCCGCACGCGCGCUACACUGAACAGUUCAAUAAGUCUUAACCUUGGCCGAUAGGUCUGGGUAAUCUUUGAACGCUGUUCGUGAUUGGGAUAGACCUUUGCAAUUAUGGGUCUUCAACGAGGAAUUCCUAGUAAACGCAAGUCAUCAGCUUGCAUUGAUUACGUCCCUGCCCUUUGUACACACCGCCCGUCGCACCUACCGAUUGAAUGGUCCGGUGAAAUCUCGGGACGGCGGCUUGGUCGCUUGCGUCCGACUGCUGAAACUUGAUUAAACCAUAUCAUUUAGAGGAAGGUGAANUCGUANCA
rnacentral:rRNA from 1 species